AACAAGCUCCCAGGUAAGUGCUGAUGCUGCUGCUUUGAGGGCCACACACCUUGAGGAGUAGGAAGAGUACUCAUACUGGAAGAGUAUUCAGCACGGACUGGAAUCCUGCAUACAUAUCUGAGCUCUGUGUUCUGUAGAGAUGGGGUUUCACCAUGUUGCCCAGGCUGGUCUCAAACUCCUGAGCUCAGGCCAUCUGCCCGCCUCGGCCUCCCAAAGUGCUAGGAUUACAGAAGGUGCCUGCUUCCCCUUCACCUUCCACCAUGAUUGUAAGUUUCCUGAGGCCUCCCCAGACAUGUGGAACUAACAGGUUUCUCUUAUUGCCUGGAUCCAAGAGCAUCUCCUGGGUUCUUCCUGUUAGAAUACUGAAUGUCCAUGGAGAGUUUAACAUAAGGAAGAAGAGGCCUGUCUCCCAGCUGAAACUGGUGCAGCAGAUCAUGCAAAGUAAAACCUCAGCAGCUGUGAUGAAGUAGAGCAGAGGGCCUGGGUGUCUGUCAGCUCCAAGCGGAAGAUUUCCCCAGCUUUCUAGGUAACUGUGCUUCCACUGAGCAAGCCAGACACAGACUUGAAU
rnacentral:lncRNA from 1 species